UACGUAGGGGGGCUAGCGUUGUCCGGAUUUAUUGGGCGUAAAGAGCGUGUAGGCGGCCAGGUAGGUCCGUUGUGAAAACUCGAGGCUCAACCUCGAGACGUCGGCGGAAACCCUCUGGCUAGAGUCCGGAAGAGGAGAGUGGAAUUCCUGGUGUAGCGGUGAAAUGCGCAGAUAUCAGGAAGAACACCCGUGGCGAAGGCGGCUCUCUGGGACGGUACUGACGCUGAGACGCGAAAAGCGUGGGGAGCAAACAGG
rnacentral:rRNA from 1 species